rnacentral:rRNA from 1 species
ACUCAAUAGAUACCCGGGUAGUCCACGCCCUAAACGAUGUCUACUAGUUGUCGGGUCUUAAUUGACUUGGUAAACGCAGCUAAACGCGUGAAGUAGACCGCCUGGGGAGUACGGUCGCAAGAUUAAAACUCAAAGGAAUUGACGGGGACCCGCACAAGCGGUGGAUGAUGUGGAUUAAUUCGAUGCAACGCGAAAAACCUUACCUACCCUUGACAUGGAUGGAAUCCUUGAGAGAUUGAGGAGUGCUCGAAAGAGAACCAUUACACAGGUGCUGCAUGGCUGUUGUCAGCUCGUGUCGUGAGAUGUUGGGUUAAGUCCCGCAACGAGCGCAACCCUUGUCAUUAGUUGCUACGAAAGGGCACUCUAAUGAGACUGCCGGUGACAAACCGGAGGAAGGUGGGGAUGACGUCAAGUCCUCAUGGCCCUUAUGGGUAGGGCUUCACACGUCAUACAAUGGUACAUACAGAGGGCCGCCAACCCGCGAGGGGAGCUAAUCCCAGAAAGUGUAUCGUAGUCCGGAUUGUAGUCUGCAACUCG